rnacentral:miRNA from 1 species
GGUUCGAGCAGAAAUAAAAGUAUUUACCCCUUCAGUUGACUUCAUGACUUGCAAUAAGGCUUGAAUUUCAUCGCUGGACUGGGCUUUCUUUCAUUGGUUUUGUGAACAAGCUUUAAUCAAAAUAUGGAUAUAUUGCGAGUAAAGCUUGUUCACAAAACCGAACAACGAAAGGCCAGUCCAACGAUGAAAUUCAAGCCUAAUUGCCUGAAUAUCGAUGAAAUUCAAGUCAUGCAAAGACUUUUAUUUCUGCUAGAACC